rnacentral:lncRNA from 1 species
GCUCGCCCCGCCCCGCGAGCCCGGUGGACCUGGGGCGGCGCGGGUGCCCGCGGUCCCGGGGCCGCGCGAGGAGGGCGGGGGCGCCCGCGGCCUAAGAGCUCAGCUUGAGAAGAGGACGUGCUCAGUUUCCACGUCGUGGCAAUAAAAGUAUCGCUUACCCCGCGCCCGGAGUGGUACCAAGCACUUUCCACCAAGGGUUCACAAAUUUACCGAAUCGCGUCUCUCUGCGGCUCAGCUGGAAAAUGGGAAUAGAGAGGCGACCUCCUGGGACUGCAGCAAAUGCCAUCGGGAAGGGCGUGGGCUCCGUAAACCGAGGCGCGGAACACACGCUUGCUAAAUUUAUUCCCAUCCUCUACACGUGGGGUGACAACUUCACUCUUGCCGCCCAGACACACACACACACACACACACACACACACACACACACACUAUUCCCAAUGUGCAGAUGAAGAAAUAAGACUCGGGGACGUUCCUGGCUGAGGCAGUUUUGAAGCAUGGUUCUCAACUCAAGAUUCAUUCAUUCAAUACUUAUUAAAAGUACCUACUGUGUGUCGGGCUCUGUUCCAAGCAUUGGGGCAUUCAGUGGUGAACACGAUGGACUGUUCCAGAACAGUGGUCCUCGGUUUGACAAGGGCAAACCCAAAGGGAGAAGAGACCUGCAUUAUUAACAGACGCCUCUCAAGCACCUGGCCCCACACACAGCAUCCCGUCAAAUCCACCGCCACCCAACAACCGCCUGAGGCUGGUGCUGUUAUCAGGAAACUGGGCACAGAGAGUGUCAGUAGCUUUCCCGAGGCCACACAGCUCCUGAAUGGAGGAACUGGGAUCUGAACUCAUGCUCUCGCCCACUUGGCUGCUAGCUUGUGUAGCAGUAAAGCUCGGGGAGCUAACCAGAUGGUCCAGCAGAAGGAGCACCAUCUUUGCAUCUCAACGGAUGAGUUUGAAACUUCACUCCAUCAAGCAGCAGCUGUGUGCCUUUGCUCGAGUCCCCCGACCUCUCUGAGCUACAACUGCCUCCCAGGCAGGAGUUAAGUCAUGGAGAGUUUGAGACGGAGAAGGUCCUUCUGGUCAUAAUGAGGCCCGACCCGGAAAAAGGAGCACGUGGGCCAGGUCGGGACACCCUGGAGAGACUCCAGCCCCCUCUCACUCACUCGCUCGCUCAGAACCAAGUUGUUUUCAUUGGAGUCUCCUGAGCUGGACAUCAAGAGCCAAGACUGGGGAGUUCCAGUUUCUCGUUUGUUCCCACCACACCCAUCCAGCGGCUGCAGAAUGUCACUGAGACUCAGCCUGGCAGCAAAGACCACUAACUACUGGAGUCAGGAGACCUGGAGGGACCGUCCUGUGAUGGGCAUGGCUUAGACAGGGGCGCCAAAAGGACGGGAAAGAUGGCGACCGCCCUGAGUGGACAGAUACACCGCCCUCAAAUCCUCAGCUGGGCGUCUGCUUCUGGGAACCCAAACGAGGACAAGGACCCUGAAGUUUGGGGACAGGGACCCAGGAGUCACAUUAUUCUCUUAGGACACCUGUGCAUUCGUUCAUCCAGCCCCUGAAUAUUGACUGAGUAUCUACUCCGUGCCAGGGGGUGUGCUGACAAAUAUAGGAGAGAAAUAGGAAAAACCCGACAGUCUGAACAGCCAUAUAAAGAGAGAAGGGCUUUUUACAAGGAGAGUCUGGGAAGCCAAAGGCUGACUGUGGUAUUAUUUCACUGUAUAAAAACUAUGACUCACGGAGGAAAAGGGAACACGGAAUCCCAGAAUACGAUGGGCACCCCCUUUAAAAUCUGAGAGAGGUAGUUUAGGGCAAAUUAAAGGAAUUCUUCAUCCAACAGUGAAUAGCAAAUUUAUUCACCUCCAGUUACCCCACAAGAAGUAAUACAAGCAGAAAAUGUAAAUAGAUUUUUAAAAAUAAAUGAAUGCUGGAGUUCA